rnacentral:rRNA from 1 species
CCAGACUCCUACGGGAGGCAGCAGUGGGGGAUAUUGGACAAUGGGGGAAACCCUGAUCCAGCGAUGCCGCGUGGGGGAAGAAGGUUUUCGGAUUGUAAACCUCUGUGGACAGGGACGAUAAUGACGGUACCUGUCAAGAAAGCCACGGCUAACUACGUGCCAGCAGCCGCGGUAAUACGUAGGUGGCGAGCGUUGUCCGGAAUUACUGGGUGUAAAGGGAGUGUAGGCGGGAAGGCAAGGCUGGAGUGAAAGCCCGGGGCCCAACCCCGGAACUGCUCUGGAAACUGUGCGGCUAGAGUACUGGAGGGGCAGGCGGAAUUCCUAGUGCAGCGGUGAAAUGCGUAGAUAUUAGGAGGAACACCAGUGGCGAAGGCGGCUUACUGGACAGUAACUGACGUUGAGGCUCGAAAGCGUGGGGAGCAAACAGGAUUAGAUACCCGUGUA